AUUAUUUGAUAUAGCCUUGGGGGAACUAUGAACAUUUUUGCCAGAAAUAUGAUUUAACAAAAAUUGUUGUUGAGACGAUGCGUUCUGUUUUUUUCUAGAGUUCAAUAUUUUAAUUUAUUUUCUACUAGAAUAACAAGGUGAUAAUUAUUGUACCACGGCAUGUUUUCUGUGUAGAAAUCCUCUGUGUCCUUUUCUGAUUGCGGCAGACAAACUGGGAAGCCUGUGUGGUGGAGAAAGAUUACACCCCAACUGUCUUAGAAGAGAUUCACCAAUGCUUGUAUAUAUGUAUACAAAUACACCACUUUUCGUCUGCAGAGAUUUGUCUUCCCUAUCAAAUCUAAUUCUAUUCCAUAACUAAAAAUUAAACAUACCCGCAAACUUAAGCCUGAACUUAAUUAAUCAACAUUCUAAAUUUACACCUACCAUCACUCCAACACUUUAAAAAAAAAAAAAGACUUUAAUCAAAUCACCCAACCUACGAUGAUGGAAGAAUGUUCUCAUACUGACGGAGGUGAAGGUCAUGAUGAGGAUUUGCACCUAGAAACUCUUGUGCCGGGAAAUUUUGAUUCGACGAUGUUAAUGUUUCUGACAUUAUCAUCUGUUAUUUCGAUGGACAUCUCUAAGCAAUUAGAAAAGAUAAAUGAUUACAUGUUAUAAUUUGUAAAAUAAUGGCAGAAACAAGAAGUAAUCAGACACAGGAACAGUUUUCAUCAGGUUCCAGAAAGGUGGAUUCUAUCUUGAAGACGUUGUUUGCGAAAGUAUUCAUUUUGGAACAAUGGCUCAGAGAGAUAGACAGCAGUGGAGUUUUGACUUCCACUCUUUUAAAAGACCAGGACAAAACUGCAUAUGUUCAUCUCCUGAAAACAACACUGGUUGGAUUUAAGGAGAAUGUGAAGAAAAUCCCACAACCAAUUUGCUUCAGACAAGUAUCACAUCAGCAAGAGAUUAUCAUUAGAGUCAUUGGGAAAAUUAUUCAGAAGGAAGGAUGUGGGAAGAAUGUUCUCACGUUUGGAUUCAGUCCAAUGUCCGACAAUCCCACUGCAUCUAUAUUUAAUACACCAGAUCUUGAGUCACGUCAUUUUAACAGCAGUGUCAACAGACUGCUCUUUGAAGCUUGGGAAACAUUUUUGAGCAGAGUUGGUGAUGAUAUAAUGAGCUAUCUACUUGAGUACGCUUCUAUGUUUGCUUCUGUGUGCAAUCCUGCAGUAUAUGUUCAGCUUACAGGAGAGCCAUUAUAUCAGAUGUGGCCAUACUCAUGGGGUUCUAGUUUCCCUGUAAAGAUGCAAGCCUCAGUUACACUAGAUAAGGGUGUGAAAAGAAGAAAGAGGCACUCAGAAUCAUGUAAUGUAAGAUCAUUGCUGCUGCCCAGAAAAAGCCAGUGUAAUAAGCUGCCACUGACUGCAACUAGGAAGAUUUCAGAGAGUAUAUUCUCUGACAAAGGUACAAAAGAAAGAGCAGGGAAGAGAAAGCAUCAAAACACAGGACUGUCUGCACCAAAGAAAAGGCGAAAAGAUAAUGACAGUCAUGUUGAAACACAUUUGGCAGAGGCUGAAGAACUCCAAGCAGUAAGUAAAACAGCUUGCUCAUGGAGACAAGAGAAGAAAGAAGACAGGGAUGCAGAGCAAGAGGGUCCUUGUAUUUUACUUCCAGAAAGAUGCAAACCAUCAAAUAAAUUUCAUCUUUAUACCACACUGGGCAAAAAGAGGCGAAAAAGGAAGCAGCAGCCCAUGCCACACAGAGAAUGUUCUUCUGAUGUGCAAUCAUAUCUGUUUCACAAGUACAUUCCAAAACUGAAUCUCAUGUAUGGAAUGGAUAUGAGAGAGAAGUUUUCCAAAUAUUUCACAGUGAACAGCAUUGAGGUCUCAGAAGAGGGAGCCACAUUGUUGUUGCAAGAGAUCUUUGUGAAAACUGAUGUUGGCGCAACUUUGGACAGUAAGUGCCAGUGCAAGACAUUUAUUCCGAUAGCACAAAGUGCACAUCAACUGAAAGCUCAAGAUGCCCUUUUCAGUGAAAACUUGGAUUUGUCUAGAAUGCAAACUUCAGACUCAGGCACAGAUAACAGCUCUUUGCUUUCUUUGUCAGAUGUUGUGCCACCAUCACCAUUUCUUUCAGAUGUCAAGUACUACCGCUCAUCGGUUUCAUUGUAUGGUUCAUCUAUUGAUCACAGUGAAGACAUGGACUCUCCAAAAACUGGUUCUGAUAAUGGAGACAAAACUAGUCAGCAGAAUGCCUUUGAUUAUUCUGAACUAAAUAGCCUAACACCAUCCACCUCAGAAUGUCAACUUGGAGAACCUAUAAGACAGUUUAUGAAGCAUUUUCUUCAAAAUCACAGGAAGUGUCCUUAUUGGUCACUUCUGAACCAUUACUGUCCAGUCAAGUCCAAGGAGGUUAGGAAGAAACAAACACCAAAACCAACAGGUUUUCGGAAAAGAGCCAGUCAGUCUUAUCAUUCAUACAAAAAACUGAACACUGGGAGCCUGCUGGAAGAUUUUUGUGUACACCCUAAGGUGUUUGGAUUUUUGCGAGCUGUGCUGAAGAGGGUUGUCCAUGUGCAAUUAUUUGGAGGUUGCAAAAAUAUGGCUUUGUUUCUUAAAAAUGUAAUGAAGCUUGUUAGACUGGGAAAAUAUGAAAAGCUUUGUCUGGGCGAAGUCAUGAGAGGGAUUAAGGUGAAACACUGUGUAUGGCUGCUCAAUGUGAGAUGUCAUCGAGACAAGGCUCACCAUAUGGCACAAUUCCUGUGGUGGUUGCUGACAUUUUUUGUGAUGCACCUUAUCAGGACAUUUUUCUACUGCACUGACACAGCAGUGUAUAGGAAUAGAACUAUGUACUACCGUAAGACAGUCUGGCUCAAGCUCCAAACAAGAGCAAUUCAAGACUUUAGAAAGUCAACAAAUCUGCACAGAAUAACUCAGAGUAAAAAGAAUGAACUUCUUGCUUCAAGCCAAGCACUGGGUGUGUCAGUCCUUCGUUUUCUACCCAAAACAAGAUCACUCAGACCUAUUGUAAAUAUGAGCAAGAAGCCAGUUCCUGCUUUGCCAUCACAGUCCGUCAAUGUCAAGUCUACUAAUCAACAUCUGGCAAGACUCUUGCAUGUACUGGCAUGUGAAAAGUCACAUGAUUCAAGUAUCUGUGGACGUUCUGUGUCUGGGAUGGAUGACAUCUGUGUUGCACUAAAACGUUUCCUUACAAAGAGAGAGGCUGAUGGGGAUUCAAGACCCCUAUACUUUGUAAAGACAGACAUCAAAAGGUGUUUUGACUCAAUUCAGCAACCACUGUUGCAUAGUAUUGUUCACUCUAUUCUGUCUAAGGCCGGGUCUCAACUAUAUUUUGUGCAAAAGUAUAGCACCGUGAUGAUAUCUGGGGGACAGAUUAAGAGGAUGUUUUACACGGACACCACAAGGCUAGCUGACUAUGAGUGUGACAGCUACAUUUUUGCUCAAUGCAAAGCAGCUAAAAAUAACUUAAGUGAUGUCAUUUUCAUUGACCAGAUGAUAACACAGUUUGAAAAUUUUGAAACUCUGUUGAAGCUCCUAUCAUCUCACUUAUACAACAACAUUAUAAAGAUAGGAAAACAGUAUUAUAUACAACAAGGAGGUAUCAGUCAGGGCUCAGUAGUAUCCACUAUGCUGGCCAACUUGUAUCUGGCCCAUCUUGAGGCUGUCCACCUGUUUCCAGCUGCUGAUGAUGAACUUUCUGUUAGGAUGGUGGAUGACUGUCUUUUCAUCACACCAAACAAAGCAAGAGCAGAAAGAUUUCUUUCACUUAUGAUAGAAGGGUUCCCAGAUUAUAAUUGCUUUGUGAAUCUGGACAAGAUACUCACCAAUUUUCCAUUUGGUCAUCCUGCUGUUGGAUCUGUUCAAUGUAUACAUGAAGGAGAAUCAUUUCCAUGGUGUGGUCUGCUGUUAGAUUCAUCUCUACAGGUGGCUGUAGACUACAGUCGAUAUUCAGGACUUGGCAUAAGUGAUACCAUAUCUUUUGAUGGGUGUCACAAGCCAGGCGAGACAAUCAAGAAAAAAUUGAUUAUAUUAACAGUGAAGAGAGAAUCCUUCUAAAUGCCUUCUGUACCUUUUUCUUCUUGGCCCAAAUUUUUAAUGGCCUUAUUAUGAAACUUCCACCAAAAAAAAGGACUGAGAGUAAUCCGGAUUUUUUCUUUGCCUUAGUUCAGAUGGUUCCAGAAUUUCUUAUGGUACAGAUCCAAAGAAAACUGAGAAAGGAUGAG
rnacentral:misc_RNA from 1 species